rnacentral:rRNA from 1 species
UGAGCAACCUGCCCUUGACCCUGGAAUAACAGCUGGAAACAGCUGCUAAUACCGGAUAUGACCUCCGAUGGCAUCAUCUGGAGGUGGAAAGCUCCGACGGUCAAGGAUGGGCUCGCGGCCUAUCAGCUUGUUGGUGAGGUAACGGCUCACCAAGGCUUCGACGGGUAGCCGGCCUGAGAGGGCGACCGGCCACACUGGGACCGAGAUACGGCCCAGACUCCUAGGAGG